AUUGAACGCUGGCGGCAUGCUUUAUACAUGCAAGUCGAACGGCAGCGCGGGCUUCGGCCUGGCGGCGAGUGGCGAACGGGUGAGUAAUGCAUCGGAACGUGCCCAGUAGUGGGGGAUAGCCCGGCGAAAGCCGGAUUAAUACCGCAUACGACCUGAGGGUGAAAGCGGGGGACCGAAAGGCCUCGCGCUAUUGGAGCGGCCGAUGUCGGAUUAGCUAGUUGGUGGGGUAAAGGCUUACCAAGGCGACGAUCCGUAGCUGGUCUGAGAGGACGACCAGCCACACUGGGACUGAGACACGGUCCAGACUCCUACGGGAGGCAGCAGUGGGGAAUUUUGGACAAUGGGGGCAACCCUGAUCCAGCCAUGCCGCGUGCGGGAAGAAGGCCUUCGGGUUGUAAACCGCUUUUGUUCGGGAAGAAAUCCUCUGGGCUAAUACCCCGGGGGGAUGACGGUACCGGAAGAAUAAGCACCGGCUAACUACGUG
rnacentral:rRNA from 1 species